AACAGUUCCAUCUUUGGAAUGUUCAACCGAGACAGGUAAAUAAAAAGGUGUUUAGAUUUGGAAAAGGUGUUAAUUGUCAGCAACUAUACGACACGUGGAAUGGAAAGCAAAACGAAAAAUUUGGAAAUGUGCAUGUCAUUGUCAUGUUGAUGCAAAACUCAAAUUGUCCUUAACACAGAUGACAGGCAGGAUGAAAACUUGGGCGCUGCCGGUUUUUUAUGUAAAACCAAAUGCGCACCUCGCUUUGGUAAUAAAAUAGUGGUACUACUUGCAAGUUGCAAUGCCUUUGUGAAAUUCUGAUUCCUACACACGUAUUGCUUGUACUUGCCUAGUGCCUAACUAACUACAUUUAAUUUCACCGACAUUGUUUUAUUUUCAUUUGUCCUUGCGAAGGGAUCCGAUAUAAAGUAACAAAUCUCUAUAACAAUACCCGCGUGUAAUAGAGUCCACAACUUUUUUAAUUUAAAAAGUGUCAAAAAGUACUAAAAUACAAAAAAAAAAAAACUAUUGAAGUAACAUUUGCGCACUAAUUUAGUGCGCAAUAGGACCAAACUGUAAUUUUGCAAUUUUGCCCUAUUGCGCACUAAAUUAGUGCGCAAUAGAGAUUCAAUAAAUUCCGCCCAGCUUCAUUUUCCAAGCUACUCUUCUUCACCUCCUCCAUUUUCACUCUUUCAACAUACUUUAGGCCCCCCUGUUGACACCCAAUUUUGUCCCUCCUUUAUUCUAAUUUAUUUCCUUGGGCUUUAAAUUUAUUAACGAGCUAAAUACUUUGUUUUCACUACUAUUUUUUAUUUUCUACUACUAUUAACAUCGUUACUGUCAUUUUCACUAUUCUACUAUCAAUAUUACUAGUAUUACUUUAUCACAAAUUUUAAAUGGUUCGUCAUCGUUUCAUUUUAGGAUUUGUACUAGUUAAAUUAAUUUUAAUUUAUUAAAUCCUUUACUUUCUACAUAUUAAUUACUAUUUUUCUUCACAUAAUACGUAUUGCACUAGUUAUUAAGUUAGAAGCCCAAAAAAUAAUUAAAUAGAGGAGUAAGGAUCCAUAUUUUCAGCCAAAUAAAUGGCCCAAACGACCAGCCCAUUACCCCUAAAACUUUCGGACCAACUACCCGCCUAAAAUUACCCAGUCCAGCCCAAUUAAGUCCCCACGACCCGACCGGCCCAACGCAUUAUACCACUUCAUCGUCUAACCCUAACCCCUUCAACCAAACUAACACCGCACCCUACUCUCUCUCUCUCUCUCUCCCCCCAUUCUCUUGUCGUCUUCUCUCCUCUCUCCUCUCCCUUUUCAGCUAAAAUCCCUAACCACCUUUAACCUUACACAGUUCUGUCCACACCAUUUUGAUACAAAAAACGUCUAUAUGUUUGCUUUACCUGAGUUUUCUGUCUUCGACAGAGGAAAUGAAUCCUUUUCCAGCUUCAAACACAUGUCGAUCUGAAAGGAUCAUAAGUGGUCGAUCCAUUUGCGGAUAUAAUCCAAGUCAACCCUUUGAAUUGGCUCGAAAACGCCUUCAAUAUUGAGAUUCAAACGGGUCUAUUUUGGAUUCGUUUUCAAACAGCUAUUCAGAUUAAAAUCCCGCCCAAAAACGAAACCCUAGAGUGGGAGCUUCACUUAUAAAUAAUCUCAAGUCCUCAUCCGAAAAGAGGAGGAUUAUCGAAACACGGCUUCACUUUUUUUUUUUAAAAAGGGGCACUUUCGUUUUCUGUCAAGAUUUUCGGGUUAAAAGGGGUUUCCAAUAUAACUAGGGUUUCAACAAAAAUCCAAUUUUCAGUUGCGAUUUCUGUUAAGUCUACAUCAGUUUUACAUUUUCUUUUUUUCCUUUGUUGAAUUCGAGUUCGUCGUGAUCGAGCGAAGAUCUGAGACUCCCACACCAGUUCACUGCACCAACAAAAGGUAAUAUCUGAGACCAUUGUUUUUUUUAGUUUCUGAAAUAUAUAAUAAUGAUGCUUAUUUAACGUGUUGGAAGCCACGGAUUAGAAUUUUGUUUCAUCAGGUUUAAUUUUGUUUGGUUCUCUGUUUUGUUUAGUCAGUUAUGAAUAUAUUUUCUAAAAUGCCUUUUCUAUGUCCAAGUACCUGUAAUCUGCAAGCUACCUGAAAACAAUAGAACAUGUAAGUGAAGAUGACAGUGCUAAGAAAGGAGUUCUGUGUGCUUAUCUGCGAUCAAAUGAUGACAAUAUUCUGUUUGUUUUGAUUUUGAUUCCAACUCUAAGAUUUUUUGUCUAGUGAGGAAAUUCUCAUAAACAUGUGGGUGUUUGUAUGAAAUACUUGGCUUGCGUGUGGAAUUCUUCCUUCAGUUCGUUGAGAAGGCUGGUGAUACUAAAUAGAGACAGGCCUUUGUAGUUGUCUUUUAUACUUGUCUAAAAGGCCCAACGCUUGGUGAAGCUACUGUUGUUAUGUUAUCCUAUUCCAUUAGUGGCAUCUAUUAUUCUGUUAAGUUUAUGGCUGUGGCAUUUACGUCGUUGGAUUUGGUGGUUAGUAUCAAUUAAUUAGGUGGGCUGUUGUAAAGGUCUGUAAUGUUGUCAAUACUAGGUGAUGGUACACUACUGUAGGAUUAUGUUAAUUGUUAAUAGUAAAGUUUAAUGGUCUGCCAUCUCUAUUUUCUUAAAGACGUGUAAAGCAUAUCAUUUGGUUUUUGUUUACUUUUAGUGAAUCAAAGUUACUCCCUUAAUCUUUCCUCUGUUGAAAAUGCCGAUUGGAAUAGCUAAAAUCAAUCACUAAACUUUUGUCUCAAGGCUAAAAUGAUUGAUGUGCACUCUUAUUUUGAGAACUUGGCUUGGUGAGAAAACAUGGUUUCAGCUGCUGUUUGAUGGCAGCAGCCCUCUCGUUUGGUCUGAAUUUGCUUUAAGUUGGAGUUUCAGCCUAUUUAUAAGUCGCUGUUUUCAUAGUGUCUUCUGUCGUUUGGUCUGAAAUCUGUUCUGUUUUCAUAGUGUCUUCUGUCGUUUGGUCUGAAAUCUGUUCUGUUUUCAUAGUGUUUUACAUAGCUCCCUCUUGCAUAUUCCAAAUUACAGCAUUAUUCAUAGCCUGCCGAUAAGUAGCAUCAGCAAUACAUUCUUGUUUGGGCAUGGACUAAUAUGUGUUAGGUGAUUUUAUAUGUGCUGAAAGAAUUUACGAGUAAAAACAUUGUUUGUGCUCCUGCCUAUUUUUCUUCAUUAAAAUUUAUUUUGAGGGUAUUGUUGCCAUUCCAGUUUCUUUAACUUUCUUCUUUAUCUUCCGUAAUUUCCUUAAUCGGGAUUUCUUUCUAAUCCUUUACAUUUUCUUUCUUUGUUUGCAUGACAUGCCCGGGCCGACGAGUUUUACUUUGAGACUCCACGACACCGCUGCCAUAAGAAGUCAUACAUCACCUUCUCUCGGUCUCUUCAUUAAAUAGCAACAUUGAAAGGAUUCCCUCCUUUCACAGGAGUCGGAUUCAAGUCAAUUAUUUUAUCCCCUCUCCAUCUAAUCUUUUUAUAUGAUUUGUUGUUUGUUGUUUGAUUAAAUUAUCGUUGUUUAUCUUGGACGUGACUUUAGCUGUAUAAAAACAGAGACUCCUUAGUAUUUUGACCUUUAGCUAAUAAAUAGUUGUCUUUCUAAUCUUCGUAGUGAGAGUUUUAAACUUGUAGAUAUCGCCUGGUAAGACUAAUUUCUUAAGAGGAUUAGUAAACAUGAGAGUUUAAGCUUUGAAUUGAAAUUUGAACCAAAUGACAUUGGUUCGAAAUUUUGUCAUCGGCUAAAAUGUCCUGCCAAAUUAAAGUUCUUUUCUUGAAAAGCAAAUAAAGUUCUUUUCUUGAAAAGCAAAUACGUUUUCCUGAACAUUAUACUUACCGACUAUACACUCUAUAUUAUACUUAUACAUAUAUAUUCAAACUAUUAUCACCUAUCGUGAUAUAUAAAAUGUUUGCAUUUUUCGUAUCACACUUAGCUUAAUUAAUUAUCAUAAGUGUCCUACUAAAGACUAUCCACCUACUUUAAAUUAUAACUUAACAUUAUUUUAUAAAACGUUUUUAAGUUUUAUGGUAAUUCUAUUCAAAGGCAAUAAAUUACCAUUUCUAAUAGUGAUGAAUUCUUUUCCAAGCGUAAUUCAUACCUUUAUUUUCCCCACAAGUCCUAUUUUAAAUAACAUUCUUAGAUGUCUAUCAAUAACUUUAGCUUUGCUUACAAAGAUUUUUUCUUAAAUAGUGUAAAAUGUUACAUCUACAUUUUUUAGCUUUUUUAAUUAAGUCCGGUCGGUUAACCAUUAUUAAUGGAAUUUAGGAUGCCUAAUACCUUUCUUUUAAGUUAGUUGAACCCUUACCUAGAUCUUUUUGGUUUCGUAGACUUUAAAAUAAAAUUAAAUUUAGAUAAUUACUUUAAUUAACCUUAAGUGUCCUAAUUCACCAUAAAUAAUUAGGUGGUGACUCCUUGACUUUAAUUAACCCCGAAAUUAUCGGAAUGUUAUAAACUAUUUUGAUCCCGGUUAAAAUAGGGUAUAACACCCCCCCCCCCCCCCCACCUCAAAAUCAUGUCUCAAAGCUCUGAAACGUCAAACUUUGCUAUAAAACCCGAUGUUUGUGAAUGUGGUCGUUAUUGUUAGCUAAAACCAUCAAGGACCGAAGAUAAUCCGGAGCGUCGUUUUUAGCGUUGUAAUGUGCCUUAAGAUAUGGGCGGUUGCAAACAUUUUCGUUGGGAAGAUAGCAUUCCCGUGGAUAAAAUGGUGGCAGCGAAGAUUAAAAAGCCUCCUGUUGAUAGAGAUACCGCAACUUCACGUAUCUCAAGAGACACUGUGAAGUUUGACUUACAAUUUAAGCUUAUGGAAGCUAAAGAAAAGAUUGACCUUUUGGAGGUCUUGCUAAAAGAAUCCAAAGAAAAAUAAAGUUUUCUCAAGGCUAACCUUAGAGAGAAACUCAACACGAGAAAAAUGUUUUGAAAGAAAAAUUGAAAUUUUGGAAGAUUAUUUGUGCUAUCUUGCUGUUGUUUAUUAUUUCUAUGUAUUUUGUUUAUUAAGUUUAAUAUUUCUACGUAUUUUGUUUUUCUAUUUAUUUUGUUAUUGUUAUGUACUUUGUUGCUACUAGUUGCAUGUUUUCAUU